rnacentral:rRNA from 1 species
AUGCAGCUACCUGCAGUCGUACCAGUAGUAGCGCCGGAAGCUUGCUUCUUUGCUGACGAGUGGCGGACGGGUGAGUAAUGUCUGGGAAACUGCCUGAUGGAGGGGGAUAACUACUGGAAACGGUAGCUAAUACCGCAUAACGUCGCAAGACCAAAGAGGGGGACCUUCGGGCCUCUUGCCAUCGGAUGUGCCCAGAUGGGAUUAGCUAGUAGGUGGGGUAACGGCUCACCUAGGCGACGAUCCCUAGCUGGUCUGAGAGGAUGACCAGCCACACUGGAACUGAGACACGGUCCAGACUACUACGGGAGGCAGCAGUGGGGAAUAUUGCACAAUGGGCGCAAGCCUGAUGCAGCCAUGCCGCGUGUAUGAAGAAGGCCUUCGGGUUGUAAAGUACUUUCAGCGGGGAGGAAGGGAGUAAAGUUAAUACCUUUGCUCAUUGACGUUACCCGCAGAAGAAGCACCGGCUAACUCCGUGCCAGCAGCCGCGGUAAUACGGAGGGUGCAAGCGUUAAUCGGAAUUACUGGGCGUAAAGCGCACGCAGGCGGUUUGUUAAGUCAGAUGUGAAAUCCCCGGGCUCAACCUGGGAACUGCAUCUGAUACUGGCAAGCUUGAGUCUCGUAGAGGGGGGUAGAAUUCCAGGUGUAGCGGUGAAAUGCGUAGAGAUCUGGAGGAAUACCGGUGGCGAAGGCGGCCCCCUGGACGAAGACUGACGCUCAGGUGCGAAAGCGUGGGGAGCAAACAGGAUUAGAUACCCUGGUAGUCCACGCCGUAAACGAUGUCGACUUGGAGGUUGUGCCCUUGAGGCGUGGCUUCCGGAGCUAACGCGUUAAGUCGACCGCCUGGGGAGUACGGCCGCAAGGUUAAAACUCAAAUGAAUUGACGGGGGCCCGCACAAGCGGUGGAGCAUGUGGUUUAAUUCGAUGCAACGCGAAGAACCUUACCUGGUCUUGACAUCCACGGAAGUUUUCAGAGAUGAAAAGGUGCCUUCGGGAACUGUGAGACAGGUGCUGCAUGGCUGUCGUCAGCUCGUGUUGUGAAAUGUUGGGUUAAGUCCCGCAACGAGCGCAACCCUUAUCCUUUGUUGCCAGCGGUCCGGCCGGGAACUCAAAGGAGACUGCCAGUGAUAAACUGGGAGGAAGGUGGGGGAUGACGUCAAGUCAUCCUGGGCCCUUUAGGACCAGGGGUUACACCCGUGGUUAC